GUUCUGGUAGCUUAAACUAAAGCGUCGACCUUGUAAGUCGAAGAUCGGAGGUUUAAUCCCUCCCCAAAACA
rnacentral:tRNA from 1 species